GUCCACGCCCUAAACGAUGUCAACUGGUUGUUGGGAAUUUAUUUCUCAGUAACGAAGCUAACGCGUGAAGUUGACCGCCUGGGGAGUACGGCCGCAAGGUUAAACUCAAAGGAAUUGACGGGGACCCGCACAAGCGGUGGAUGAUGUUCUUUAAUUCGAUGUAACGCGAAAACCUUACCCACCUUUGACAUGUAUGGAAUCCUUUAGAGAUGAAGGAGUGCUCGAAAGAGAGCCAUAACACAGGUGCUGCAUGGCUGUCGU
rnacentral:rRNA from 1 species